CCUACGGGAGGCAGCAGUGAGGAAUAUUGGUCAAUGGGCUUACGCCUGAACCAGCCAAGUCGCGUGAGGGAAGACUGCCCUAUGGGUUGUAAACCUCUUUUGUCAGGGAGCAACGCCGGCUACGUGUAGCCGGACUGAGAGUACCUGAAGAAAAAGCAUCGGCUAACUCCGUGCCAGCAGCCGCGGUAAUACGGAGGAUGCGAGCGUUAUCCGGAUUUAUUGGGUUUAAAGGGUGCGUAGGCGGGCAUUUAAGCCGGCGGUCAAAUGUCGGGGCUCAACCCCGGCCUGCCGUCGGAACUGGGUGCCUUGAGUGGGCGAGAAGUAUGCGGAAUGCGUGGUGUAGCGGUGAAAUGCUUAGAUAUCACGAAGAACUCCGAUUGCGAAGGCAGCUUACUAAACUGCCACUGACAUUGAUGCUCGAAAGUGUGGGUAUCAAACAGGAUUAGAUACCCUUGUAGUC
rnacentral:rRNA from 1 species